ACAGCCUCAGUGGCUUAUAUUGCAAGUGUCAGCUGCAAAGAGAAAAUGUACAAAGGUGGGGUUGUGGAACUGGGGGGGGAUCAAGAGGGUAAAGCCUUGCAGUGCACACCUCAAAGCCCUUGGACCAGCUGUAAUGGCAGAUCCCAGGCCAUGCUGGGAAACUAGAAUUCCCCUUCAGUUUUUUUCAUUUCAGAAUGGAUUACAAAGCCCUUGCUGAAGGAGGCUUCCUGCUCACACUUGUCACUAGAGGAUAAGUAAAGGUCCUGCAUGGUCCCUGAGAGCAAUGAGUGGAUGCUUAUUAAAUUGAAUGUGACUCCUGUCCUUGACCUCUCUGCAGAUAAAUACAACAUGCCCUUCACUGCUGAGUGGUUUGGGAAGAAUGUCAGCCAGACAAGAGAGGGGAGAUAAAGGAAAGACAGAAUGGCAGCUGGGUAUUACCAGACCAUGUGAAAUGACAUCUGGGUGGAAUUUUAUCAGCAACAAACAAGAAACAAAUGAAGAAGGGAGGAUUUAAAAAAAAAAAUCCUUUUUUUUUUCCUAUCUAUACUAUGAUUUGUUAUGUAUAUGUAUAUAUACAUGGAUUUUUAAAUCACUGUUGGGAUGUGAAGAAACAAAGAAAAAAAGCAGAUGAUGUAAUGUUAUCUGUUCCAUUACAGAACAGAAUAUUAUCGUGUGGAGCACCAGUUAGGGACAUGUUGGGGAGCAGGAGGUUGGUGCUUUACAUCUAUUACUGAAGUCAGUGCAAAUUCUCCACUGCUUUAACAGGGGAUCAAAGGUUUGAUGGGAUCUAGAAACACAAGGAGGUUAAAACGUGGCAGGUGUAGGUAACCUCAUGUACACAGACCUUUGCCUCAGAAGGCAGAAUGUUCUUGCAAAUCUGACACAAUCUAAUUCCUUGAUUUCCUCAGUGACAUUUUUGCAGGCUCAUGUACAGAAGGACAGGGAAAUGGAGAUUUAUGACAGCUAUUCCUAGCAAAGGUCAUUUCUUGAUUGGUGAACAACCUGUCCUUAGUCACGCUGAUGACGAGGCGUUGAAGGAAAACGGAGAGGCUGGAGAGCUUUAAAGCUUGACAGGAGUAACAGAAAUAGAGCAUAGAUCAUCUCUGUACUUGAGCAAAAAAGCCUGAAUUCUUCCACCAUCAGUGAAAGCCAGGGAGCAGGAGGCAAAAUUCAGAAA